UACGGGGGGGGCAAGCGUUGUUCGGAAUUACUGGGCGUAAAGGGCUCGUAGGCGGCCAACUCAGUCGGACGUGAAAUCCCUCGGCUUAACCGGGGAAUGGCGUCCGAUACUGGAUGGCUUGAGUUUGGGAGAGGGAUGCGGAAUUCCAGGUGUAGUGGUGGAAUGCGUAGAUAUCGGGAGGAACACCAGUGGCGAAGGCGGUUGCCUGGGGCUUUGCUGACGCUGAGGCGCGAAAGCGUGGGGAGCGAUCCGG
rnacentral:rRNA from 1 species